rnacentral:rRNA from 1 species
GACGAACGCUGGCGGCGUGCUUAACACAUGCAAGUCGAACGGAAAGGCCCUGCUUUUGUGGGGUGCUCGAGUGGCGAACGGGUGAGUAACACGUGAGUAUCCCGCCCUUGACUUUGGGAUAACUUCAGGAAACUGCGGCUAAUACCGGAUAGGAGCUCCUGCUGCAUGGUGGGGGUUGGAAAGUUUCGGCGGUUGGGGAUGGACUGGCGGCUUACCAGCUUGUUGGUGGAGUAGUGGCUUACAAAGGCUUUGACGGAUAGCCCGCCUGAGAGGGGGAACGGGCACAAGGGGACUAAGGGAGGGCGCAGACGGCAACGGGAGGCAGCGGUGGAGAAUAUUGCACAGUGAGCGGGAGCCUGAGACGGAGGCGCCGGGUGCGGGAAGACGGCCUUCGGGUUGUAAACCGCUGUCGCCUGUGACGAAGCGUGAGUGACGGUAAUGGGUAAAGAAGCACCGGCUAACUACGUG